GACGAACGCUGGCGGCGUGCUUAACACAUGCAAGUCGAACGGAAAGGCCCUGCUUUUGUGGGGUGCUCGAUUGGCGAACGGGGGAGUAAAACGUGUGUAACCUGCCCUUGACUUUGGGAUAACUUCAGGAAACUGGGGCUAAUACCGGAUAGGAGCUCCUGCAGCAUGGUGGGGGUUGGAAAGUUUCGGCGGUUGGGGAUGGACUCGCGGCUUAUCAGCUUGUUGGUGGGGUAGUGGCUUACCAAGGCUGUGACGGGUAGCCGGCCUGAGAGGGUGACCGGCCACAAUGGGACUGAGAUACGGCGCAGACGCGUACGGGAGGCAGCAGGGGGGAAUAUUGCACAAUGGGCGGAAGCCUGAGGCAGCGACGCCGCGUGCGGGAUGACGGCCUUCGAGUUGUAAACCGCUUUCGCCUGUGACGAAGCGUGAGUGACGGUAAUGGGUAAAGAAGCACCGGCUAACUACGUG
rnacentral:rRNA from 1 species